UCAUUGCUACGCUUGCGCGAGCGCCGUCCACAUUAGUUUAUUCAUUAUGUUUGACAUGCUUGUGAUUCAUGUUGUCCAGAGAGAGGUGCAACCCAACAGGCACAAAACGUACUUGGCAGCAACUGAAGAUGAAAUAUAAAAAUAUACUUCAAACAGAACCUUCUUUUUCUCUAACAGCAAUGCUGGAAUUUACAAUGAGGAAGAGGGGGGUCCAUCCACUUCCACAGCACCAUUUACCUCACUCCCUGUGAAGCAGCUGUACAAGGCGUCCUUAGAGAAACAAAUUGAAAAAUGUAAUUUAGAAAUUGACCACAUAAGGCUGCAGAUGCAAAAUAGAAAUACAACUGCUGGAACAUCAGCUUUUGUGGGUGAGGUGGAUGAUUUUACUUGUUUGAACAACAUAAAAAAUAACUACUGUACUGCAUUUGUACUUGCAGGAAAUAAAGAAG